rnacentral:rRNA from 1 species
GAUGAACGCUGGCGGCGUGCCUAAUACAUGCAAGUCGAGCGAACGGACGAGAAGCUUGCUUCUCUGAUGUUAGCGGCGGACGGGUGAGUAACACGUGGAUAACCUACCUAUAAGACUGGGAUAACUUCGGGAAACCGUAGCUAAUACCGGAUAAUAUUUUGAACCGCAUGGUUCAAAAGUGAAAGACGGUCUUUCUGUCACUUAUAGAUGGAUACGCGCUGCAUUAGCUAGUUGGUAAGGUAACGGCUUACCAAGGCAACGAUGCAUAGCCGACCUGAGAGGGUGAUCGGCCACACUGGAACGGAGACACGGUCCAGACUCCUACGGGAGGCAGCAGUAGGGAAUCGUACGCAAAGGGGGAAAGCCUGACGGAGUAACGCCGAGUGAGAGAUGAAGGUGUUCGGAUCGUAAAACUCGGUUAUUAGUGAAGAACAUAUGUGUAAGUAACUGUGCACAUCUUGACGGUACCUAAUCAGAAAGCCACGGCUAACUACGUG